rnacentral:tRNA from 1 species
GGUAAAAUGGCUGAGUAAGCAUUAGACUGUAAAUCUAAAUACAGGGGUUAUAUUCCCCUUUUUACCA